rnacentral:misc_RNA from 1 species
UUGCCUGGCUCAAAGGGAAACCUCUGUCCCUGAACAUUGUGAUAGCUAUUUCUCAUAUUGGGGCUACCAGAGGAAUGAACAGAAACAGAAUUCAACGAUGAGGCUUGGGGCAAGUUGUCUUCAGCAUAAGUUGCUUUAUGACUCUCACUGUUGUAUGUCAAGUUGGGACUCCCGGAAGGAAUUUCAGUACCAUGAAUAUUUAAACCAGUCCACUGCUCCGGUAGACCAACAUCACUGCUAGAAGUUUCUGCAACAGCAGACUGCAUGAGAGCACUCCAAGUACCACCUUGGAUAGAUGGAGUUCCAUCAAGCAAUUCAGCACCAUCAAAAGG